AGAGCCCUUCUCUGAUCCCGAGACUUCCUGUUACUGGAGCACUGGUCUCUGGCCUCUGUGUCACUCUUUUGAGCUGGGAGGAGGUGGGGCAGAAGCAAAGACACAAUGGAUGAAGGUGACCCAAAGGGACUGUUCAUAUGGAAAAGAAGACCCACAGACAACAUGGGGAAACCACUCACACAGCGAGUGUGCGGAGGCUGAGCCAAGCUUGCGAACCAUGUCAUCAGCGGGCAAGGAGAAGACAGGCAAAGGUUGCUUCGGUCACUAUGUUCCAUCACAGCAAUAGAAACCCUAACAAAUCCAGGACGGAUGCUUCGUGUCACCCAGGAGUUAGGAGUGAAAACUGAGGUGACCAAGGAGCCUUUUGACAUUGGCAAAGGUUUCUUCUCAGCCUUUGUUCCAGUCACUUCCCACAUGUUCUGCAAGCCCAGACAUUCCCCAGAGGGGUUCCAGGAAGCUCUCUCUCCACAAAGCUCUCCCUGGAAGCAGCCUGGAUCCCAGCGAGGUGGGGGAAGCACUUUGUCAUGUAGAAGAAGUCUACAUGACUUUGUUCCACUUUGUCUGUGGAAGAAGUGAACUGAAGCCAUCAGCAGAUUCUGCCUUGCCUGGCCCAGGGGGCUGUAGAUCCUGGUUCUCAGGCCUGACACCCCAUAGACACCACCCUGAAAGCUCUAGAGCAGCCUGUGGGUCAUGACCCCCCCCUUUGGUGUGUGUCUGUGUCACCUAUCAGAUAUCCUGCAUUUCCAAUACAUACAUUAUGAUUCAUAA
rnacentral:lncRNA from 1 species